AUACAUACAUUGAUACAUAGAUAUAUACAUAAAUACAUGGAUGGAUGGUUGGGUGAAUGGUGGACAAGCAGACAGAAGGAUGGAUGAACAGAUGGACAGACAGAAAGAUGAGCUAGUACAUUUGGUAAUGUUCACCCCUCUAUACUUUUUCCUUCCUACCCACUACACCUCCUGUCACAAAAUCUCCAUCCUGCUUUCAUUUGUCUUUGGUUUUGAUUUUUCCUUUGUGACUCUGGUCUGACCAAGGCUAUUUCUGCAGGCAAGGGAGCCAUCAACAGGAACUUGGGUCAUUCACCAGUGCCUGCAUCACUGAAGUCAAUGAUUUCCCAGCAGCCCUGGAUCUGAGCUUGCUUAGGUUAGCAUAUUCUAAAAUUCCCUUUAGUAAGGUCUCUAAAAACCUCUGUGAAUAUUAAUGUUCAUGUGUUGAAAGAUAUUUUUAUACUAUAUCAAUUUUGGAUCUUCAAUAUAAAAAGCAGUAAAAAGAAAAUAAAAGACACACUUUUAUCAGAAGUAUAAUUUUUCAGUGACAGGUUACAGUGUGUAGCUGCUGACUGUCUUCUUUGACUCAGGCUGCUAUCAGGCCAUAUCUUAGAUGGGUUUAUGUAGAAGAUUACUCAGGGCUGUCUAUUCCCUACAAGAAGCCAAAGCAUUAGGCACUGUGUUUUAGAGAGGGAAUGAAGAGUGUUGGUUAAUAUGGUAAGGAAUUUAUUUUUAAAGAAAGAACUUCUAUCACAUCAUGUUAUAAUUAAUUUAUUUUUUCAUUUGUUAUUUAUUUAUGAUGAGAUAGGUUUUCAUAUAGCCCAGACUUGCCUCAUACUGUCUGUGUAGCCAAGGCUGACCUUGAACUCCUCAUCUUCCUGCUUCUACCUCACAAGUGUUAGGAUUACAGGCCUGUACCACCACACCAUGGCAGAUGUAACAAACUUCUAGUAGAAAAAGAAUGGAAUAAGAAAACAGUAAAAUAUACUUAGAUAGUAGUCAACAAAUCACCUGUAACUAUUUAUUGUAACUAAUUGGAGUCCUUUAAUUUUUUUUUUUAGAAAAACAAACAAACAAACCCUAAACUUAGGCUAACAAUGGGAAUAAGCUUUUGCAACUGUGAUGUGGAGCGCAAACCUUCUCUUUUAAUUCAUCAUUUAUUGUAAACUUUACUAAGAAUUAUUAAAGAAGAGCCAGUGUGUAUACUUACUGGUUUUGUGUAGUGCUCCUUAAACAGUAUUUGCUUCCCUUUUCCCCCUUAAGUCCCUUCUCCGUUUUGUAGUGUUGUUGUUAGAUUAAGCCUUUCUGUUCGCAAGUGACUUAUAUUAGAAGUUUGCUUUGUAUUAUAACAGGACAGAAAAAGUUUUACUGCCCUCUUUUCUACAUAUUUCCUAACC
rnacentral:lncRNA from 1 species